rnacentral:lncRNA from 1 species
GAGGGCUGAUACGGCGUCAACUGUCGGUCCGAGCCCGCGGCGUCCCCCUGAUCGGUGGGCCCGGACCCGUCUGUCGGCGUCGGAGUCGCCUGCUGGCGGGGCUUCUUCGCCGGUGGGACCCCGCUCGGAGGAGUCCGUUUCUUCCUCCGGACCGCUUCCAGUAGGGACGCCCUACUAACAGCCAUUGCCCUGUCCGACUGCAUGACGUCGUCGAUUUCUGCAAAAAGAACGAGAUGGUUAGAAACUGAGAAACUGAUGGAAAGAAGAA